rnacentral:lncRNA from 1 species
CUUGUCUGGUUUUAGACAGAUUCAUGUUAUAGAUAUGGACACUAUAGAUGUUUCCAAUCUAAAUAGGCAGUUUUUAUUUAGGCCUAAAGAUAUUGGAAGACCUAAGGCUGAAGUUGCUGCAGAAUUUCUAAAUGACAGAGUUCCUAAUUGCAAUGUAGUUCCACAUUUCAACAAGAUUCAAGAUUUUAACGACACUUUCUAUCGACAAUUUCAUAUUAUUGUAUGUGGACUGGACUCUAUCAUCGCCAGAAGAUGGAUAAAUGGCAUGCUGAUAUCUCUUCUAAAUUAUGAAGAUGGUGUCUUAGAUCCAAGCUCCAUUGUCCCUUUGAUAGAUGGGGGGACAGAAGGUUUUAAAGGAAAUGCCCGGGUGAUUCUGCCUGGAAUGACUGCUUGUAUCGAAUGCACGCUGGAACUUUAUCCACCACAGGUUAAUUUUCCCAUGUGCACCAUUGCAUCUAUGCCCAGGCUACCAGAACACUGUAUUGAGUAUGUAAGGAUGUUGCAGUGGCCUAAGGAGCAGCCUUUUGGAGAAGGGGUUCCAUUAGAUGGAGAUGAUCCUGAACAUAUACAAUGGAUUUUCCAAAAAUCCCUAGAGAGAGCAUCACAAUAUAAUAUUAGGGGUGUUACGUAUAGGCUCACUCAAGGGGUAGUAAAAAGAAUCAUUCCUGCAGUAGCUUCCACAAAUGCAGUCAUUGCAGCUGUGUGUGCCACUGAGGUUUUUAAAAUAGCCACAAGUGCAUACAUUCCCUUGAAUAAUUACUUGGUGUUUAAUGAUGUAGAUGGGCUGUAUACAUACACAUUUGAAGCAGAAAGAAAGGAAAACUGCCCAGCUUGUAGCCAGCUUCCUCAAAAUAUUCAGUUUUCUCCAUCAGCUAAACUACAGGAGGUUUUGGAUUAUCUAACCAAUAGUGCUUCUCUGCAAAUGAAAUCUCCAGCCAUCACAGCCACCCUAGAGGGAAAAAAUAGAACACUUUACUUACAGUCGGUAACCUCUAUUGAAGAACGAACAAGGCCAAAUCUCUCCAAAACAUUGAAAGAAUUGGGGCUUGUUGAUGGACAAGAACUGGCGGUUGCUGAUGUCACCACCCCACAGACUGUACUAUUCAAACUUCAUUUUACUUCUUAAGGAAAAUCUCCACAUAAUAGAAAACUCAUGGAAAUAAUAUACUUUGUGGAUGCUAAGAAGUUGAAUCGAUGUCAUUUUUAGCAAUAGUGUUGCCACGAUUUGUCUUUUUUUAUAUAAUGAACCACUCUUUUUUAACUUUGUAACCUUCCCUUGAAGACAGAAUUUUGGUGUUGGUGCUUGUAAGCAUUUUCAUUAAUAAUAUGAGAAAUGAUACCUGGAGAGAGAGAUUAUGAGCAAAUGUAUUGCUUCUUUUAGAGGAGGAAGCAUACAACCUCUUUUGUGUGAAUUUUGUUAUUAUGGUCAAAGAAUGCAUUCCUAAGUUUUCAUUUGAGUACCCAAAUACACAAAAGGUGUCCCUUUAAGGAAAAUAAAGAAUUAAGUUUUAAAUAACAUUACAUUUUACAAUCUGACAUCUGGAGUAUAUUGAACAUAGGCUAUUUCUUGAUAUAACACUCAUUUAAUUGUGGCCAUCCAAAUGAAUAUUAUUGCAGAAUUUAUCUUGUUCAUAAUGAUUUGUAAAUGGUGUUAUAGCUGAAUACCUGUGCAUGAAAAUGGGCAAUAUUUUCAUCUGUUUACUUGUAGUGCCAUAGAGGCCAAUAUGCACAAUAUUAACUAAUGCCAAGACAUGGCUGUUUAAAAAAUUUAAUGUUCAAACAGUUAUCACUGAUGCUUUUGCACUAUUUAUUAAUAA